CAAAUAUCCAAACACAUGAGAGUUUCUUCUUUGUUUCCUCACCUUUGCACGCCAUGGAUCUGUAGAUUAUGAGUUUAAGGUUUCACCAAGUUUCAAAAUAAUGAGUUUCUUCAAGAUGGUCUCUUCUUUGCGAGUUUUCAUAAAUGAGAGAUAGAUCGGAAGAAGCAACAGAGACCGAGAUCUCAUGCCGGACCAGUUGAAGAUCAACGGUUUUGUGAGAUCUUCAGACAUGAGUACUACCCAGCGAAGUGUUUCGCAUUCUCUUGCCGCUGCAAUUCCUGAAUCACCAGCCUUUUGACUUUAGCUCCCAAGUAUGUGUAUUUGGGUUUUCACUAUUAUUCAAAGGAUUUUGAUUUGUGUGAUAGGAAUUUCUUAUCUGUUGUAAUUGACUAAGAUCGAUUUAGCAAGGGCCAAGGAGGAAGAAAGAAUAGGGUGAGUAGAAAAAGUGGGUUGAAUGAGUUGUCUAUUUUUACCUUUAUAAUUGCUCUUAUAAUUUGUAGGUUAUUGGAAACUUAAAGAGGCCUGAUCAACUCCGAGAUCAACUGUUUGUAGAUCCUCUACAUCAAGGAAGCUGGUAAGAAGCCCCUUCAUUGUGUUAUCUAUUUUGUUGGUUACUAUUUUUAGUGAUUCCAAUAUAUUGUUUCUUUAUAUAUCUCAUUUUGAGAUGUUAUGUCAAAAGCUGAAACUCAUACAAAAUCUUAACUUGAAAUCUAAUCAGAAGAAUGUUUUUUAUAUAAGUUUGUAAUAAAACUUGGACUAGCUGAUUUGUAUAAAUUGGCAUGAUCAUAUAAGUGUAAAGCUGAAUUUGUAUACUCAAUGACACAAAAGGCAAAGGUAGUAUUGGACUGGUACGCAUACGAAUUAUAAAUAAUUUAUACAUAGCAGGAAUCAAGAUUUUUGUGGGGUUUGGUUAUUGUUGAUUAAAGAUUAAAAAUCAAGAAGAUUUGAUAUGGGUUUAGUUUGAGGGGUGAAAGUGGUGAAUUGGGUGCUGAAAAAGUUAAAAAGAAAAUUGAUUUUGAUUGCAUUUGAGGGGUGAAAGUGUGAAUUUGGUGUGGAAAAGUUGAAAAAGAUUGGAUUUUGAUUCAUUUUGAGGGUUGAAAGCGGUGAAUUUGGUUUGUAGAAUUGAAAAAGAUUUGAUUUUAGGGGGUGAAAGUGGUGGUGCAAAAGCUGAAGAAGAUUUGGUUUGGUUGAUGGGAAUUGGUUUUAACAGGGGAAGGAAAGGGGGGUCAUGAGAGUCUUUCAAAGAUUCACUUUUAAAUCCCUUGAAGCUGAUAUUCAACAUGCCAAUACUCAAUACUCUGUAUCUAUAUCUCUCUCUCUAACUUCUUUCAAUUGAUUAUGUAAUUGAAUGUUAUGGUGUUUGAAACAAAAUUGAAUUUUUGAGCUCUUACAUGAUUUAAUUCUUGAGAUUGAAAGCGGUUUUCCAAAAGGAUUGUCGCGGAUUAUAGUGUCAAUUUCUAAUGGUUUGGUUUAUAAUAUUAUUUGCUGUUGAAGUGGUUUUUGAAUUGGAUGAUUACAGGGCAUCAGAUUAUCCAAGAGAAUAUGAUGGUGGUUGCCUUCGGAUGAGGUUAUCACACAACCCAUGUGCUCACUUCUUUCUCUUUUUUGUUUAAUGGAGUGAUUGUAAUCUUGCUGGUGCCCUUGGCUUACUCAGAAUCCUUAUUUAUAAUCUACAGAUCUGAUUUUGUAGAUUGAAAGAACAAUUUGCGAUUAAGGCACAAACGUGAUGUUACCGCCGCAACGCGCGUAAAAAAGGGUACUUUUGGUGUUUCACCAACAACACGCAUCAUCCUCACUUCUAAUUGCACAGAGACAGAAGGAGAAAGAAGUGAGAUAAGGAAGACGACGAUGAUAGCGAUUUUGGUUACAAAGCGGCGAUGAUGACGGAGAUGGCUGCGAAAAGGUUCAGUCGUUAGCGGCGGCGGCGGUUAGGGUUCCGCCAUGAAACAUGGUAUCGCCAUUGUUCUCUUUAUCAGAAUCGCUAUCGGGUGGGCUAAGUUCCAGGGUUCCGGCCGCCGUUCAAUUGAAGGUAAUGACGAUUAAGAAGGCAAUGAUGGAGGUUCUGGUUAUAGGCAUGUCGGUGACUUUAGAAACGAACUCCGUGACUCAACUAGGGUUCCAGCAAGAUUACGGGGCGCCUUUUUACACUAAAAGGGUCUUCUUCAGUUUAUUCAGACACCUAACUGGUCAGAUGUGAAUUUUACCACCCAUUUAGCUGAUGUUGUUUGUGGCUCCUCGAGCAUCUUUUGGUUUUAAGACCAAAGAAAGAACUGCAGCCGCUUCGUCUAAUGUCGGACCUCCAAAAACUGAUCAUCUAAAAAGAAAAGUUGCCCCAUAUCAACUUCCAGAUUCUAAGGCGAGGAGCCUGCCACAAAGCCCAUUACCAGUCAUGAGAAAAAUCGCUACCCUUGGCUUUCAGACUCCAAGGCCUCAAAGUCAAGUGAUUUACAGUCGAGUCAGAGUGGGGUGAUGCAUGACCCAAAGUGGUGCAGGAACUUCCUCGAGCGUAUGGUGGACACUGCUGAGAAAAAACAUUGCAAGGCAAUGACCCACGUCCAGUUAAAGGUGAUGGCUUUAAACGUGGUCUGUAGCAAGACGAUGGUGGUUAAUAGUGGUAACGGCCGCCUCCAGAGGCGAGGCAGGUGCCAGAUGCCAUGGUGACAACUACGUUGUUUUUCACGCCGACGGUGACGACGGAGUUGUUUUUCACUCCGGUGGUGGGAAGGUCGUAGAAACAAGGGGUUAUGGUUCCGUAAAUCCAACUAAUCUUAACCACCAGUUGUCAUUCCGCUUGACGUGACUGUAUCCAGGGUUUCAGUGGUGGCUGUGUUAACGGAAGAAAUACGUUUGUUGCCGCCAUUGGCUAUAAAGAAGGUUCAAUCUAUCUUUCUUCUUUGAUAACCUGGCUAUAAAGAAGAUUUGUUAGUAUCAGGCACUAACCUUAAAACAAUGGCAGAUCUGGAGCUAUAUUUCUAUGCUUGCUGCUUACUCCGUUAUGGUUCUUAUUCCGUACUUUCGGGUUCCGUUCUACAUGGGGAUACGGCGGCGGCGGCGGUAGUGGUGAACAGCGACGACAACCGCGGAGGUAUUAGUGAACAACGCCGACGACUUAGCAGCGGCUGGCCCUGCAGGUGUGGAUGGACCUGACGGUGGUUCAACAUGAUUGGCACCACCAGCGCCAAUUUCAGACAAUCGGAACCGAUGGAACCCUUAUCGACUGGAGAAACCCCCAAAAGUUCUUCGCUACAUGGUGAUGGAACGAAUGUAGAGACAAGAAUAGUCACGGCCAUGUGAAGUUCGUGUGGUGCUCCAACUAUGGCAAGU